GGUGUAGCUUAAUGGUAGAGUGCUUGCCUAGCAUGCAUGGGGCCCUGGGUUCAAUUCCCAGUGCC
rnacentral:tRNA from 1 species